AGUGAACGCUGGCGGUAGGCCUAACACAUGCAAGUCGAACGGCAGCACAGUAAGAGCUUGCUCUUACGGGUGGCGAGUGGCGGACGGGUGAGGAAUACAUCGGAAUCUACUUUUUCGUGGGGGAUAACGUAGGGAAACUUACGCUAAUACCGCAUACGACCUACGGGUGAAAGCAGGGGAUCUUCGGACCUUGCGCGAUUGAAUGAGCCGAUGUCGGAUUAGCUAGUUGGCGGGGUAAAGGCCCACCAAGGCGACGAUCCGUAGCUGGUCUGAGAGGAUGAUCAGCCACACUGGAACUGAGACACGGUCCAGACCCCUACGGGAGGCAGCAGUGGGGAAUAUUGGACAAUGGGCGCAAGCCUGAUCCAGCCAUACCGCGUGGGUGAAGAAGGCCUUCGGGUUGCAAAGCCCUUUUGUUGGGAAAGAAAAGCAGCAGGUUAAUACCCCGCUGUUCUGACGGUACCCAAAGAAUAAGCACCGGCUAACUUCGUG
rnacentral:rRNA from 1 species